GAUGAACGCUGGCGGCGUGCCUAAUACAUGCAAGUCGAGCGAACAGACGAGGAGCUUGCUCCUCUGACGUUAGCGGCGGACGGGUGAGUAACACGUGGAUAACCUACCUAUAAGACUGGGAUAACUUCGGGAAACCGGAGCUAAUACCGGAUAAUAUAUUGAACCGCAUGGUUCAAUAGUGAAAGACGGUUUUGCUGUCACUUAUAGAUGGAUCCGCGCCGCAUUAGCUAGUUGGUAAGGUAACGGCUUACCAAGGCAACGAUGCGUAGCCGACCUGAGAGGGUGAUCGGCCACACUGGAACUGAGACACGGUCCAGACUCCUACGGGAGGCAGCAGUAGGGAAUCUUCCGCAAUGGGCGAAAGCUUGACGGAGCCACGCCGCGUGAGUGAUGAAGGUCUUCGGAUCGUAAAACUCUGUUAUUAGGGAAGAACACAUGUGUAAGUAACUAUGCACGUCUUGACGGUACCUAAUCAGAAAGCCACGGCUAACUACGUG
rnacentral:rRNA from 1 species